rnacentral:rRNA from 1 species
AUACGUAGGGGGCGAGCGUUAUCCGGAAUUAUUGGGCGUAAAGAGUGCGUAGGUGGUUUCUUAAGCGUGGGGUGAAGGCCAUUGGCUCAACCAGUGUAAGCCCCGCGAACUGGGGGACUUGAGUGCAGGAGAGGAAAGCGGAAUUCCUAGUGUAGCGGUGAAAUGCGUAGAUAUUAGGAGGAACACCAGUGGCGAAGGCGGCUUUCUGGACUGUAACUGACACUGAGGCACGAAAGCGUGGGGAGCAAACAGGAUUAGAUACCCUGGUAGUCCACGCCGUAAACGAUGAGCACUAGGUGUCGGGGCCGCAAGGUUUCGGUGCCGCAGUUAACGCAUUAAGUGCUCCGCCUGGGGAGUACGUGCGCAAGCAUGAA